rnacentral:rRNA from 1 species
AUUGAACGCUGGCGACAGGCUUAACACAUGCAAGUCGAGCGGGCGAGGUUGCUUCGGUAACUGAGCUAGCGGCGGACGGGUGAGUAAUGCUUAGGAAUCUGCCUAUUAGUGGGGGACGACAUUCCGAAAGGAAUGCUAAUACCGCAUACGCCCUACGGGGGAAAGCAGGGGAUCUUCGGACCUUGCGCUAAUAGAUGAGCCUAAGUCAGAUUAGCUAGUUGGUGGGGUAAAGGCCUACCAAGGCGACGAUCUGUAGCGGGUCUGAGAGGAUGAUCCGCCACACUGGGACUGAGACACGGCCCAGACUCCUACGGGAGGCAGCAGUGGGGAAUAUUGGACAAUGGGCGCAAGCCUGAUCCAGCCAUGCCGCGUGUGUGAAGAAGGCCUUUUGGUUGUAAAGCACUUUAUGCGAGGAGGAGGCUACUUGGAUUAAUACUCUAGGAUAGUGGACGUUACUCGCAGAAUAAGCACCGGCUAACUCUGUGCCAGCCGCCGCUGUAA